AGUGAGCGCUGGCGGUAGGCCUAACACAUGCAAGUCGAACGGCAGCACAGUAAGAGCUUGCUCUUACGGGUGGCGAGUGGCGGACGGGUGAGGAAUACAUCGGAAUCUACUUUUUCGUGGGGGAUAACGUAGGGAAACUUACGCUAAUACCGCAUACGACCUACGGGUGAAAGCAGGGGAUCUUCGGACCUUGCGCGAUUGAAUGAGCCGAUGUCGGAUUAGCUAGUUGGCGGGGUAAAGGCCCACCAAGGCGACGAUCCGUAGCUGGUCUGAGGGGAUGAUCAGCCACACUGGAACUGAGACACGGUCCAGACUCCUACGGGAGGCAGCAGUGGGGAAUAUUGGACAAUGGGCGAAAGCCUGAUCCAGCCAUACCGCGUGGGUGAAGAUGGCCUUCGGGUUGUAAAGCCCUUUUGUUGGGAAAGAAAAGCAGCAGGUUAAUACCCCGCUGUUCUGACGGUACCCAAAGAAUAAGCACCGGCUAACUUCGUG
rnacentral:rRNA from 1 species